GUAUUCAGGGGCAUCAUAGGAGACAGGGUCAUCCAGACAAGAUUCUGAUUCCAUAAUCUGUUACUCUGGCUUAGAGGGUAAUCUUGGACCUCAGUUUCCUGUUUUAUCAAACAGGGAUUAAAACUGCUGGUUUGGAAUAUUUAAUGAGUUAUUAUGUAUAUACCACAGAAUAGAGCUCAGUAAAAGACAUUGACAUUGUCGUCAUCAUCAUCAUCAUCAUCGUCGUCAUCAUCAUCAUCAUCUACUUGUAGAUAGCCAGAAAGUAGCCAAGUGCUAUGAGCUCGAAGAAACUGAAGUGAUCGUGAUUAUUGCCUGGAUAUCAGAGAGCUGGAAUUUAGGUUAGCUCUGACUGAGCCUAGUUGCAAGGCCUACCCUGAUGAAUGAAUCAGUUGGAGAAAUCAGCUAUGGUGGAUGCUGUUUCUGGCUCUGUCACUGAAAAGCGACUCACCACCAUUCUUCAUAUUUCCAUCUGCAAAGUGGGGCUGAACACUCAGAAUCACUGACACCGGCAGUUAUUUUAGCACUCCUCACCUUAGAAACUGCCUGUGGAAAGAAAGUGCAUUCAGCAAGACAAUGGGGGGUAGGGAGGCCCUUGGAUUGCUGGUUGGAAGCUGAGAGUUGGAAACAAUGCUCCAAUCAAUUGCCUGGAGAACACAGAGAGCCAGCUGGCCUGAGGAGAUAAGAGAAUUGUUCUCCUCCAGGCUGGGUGGUGCCAUACCUAAUAAGGAACUGGGCAAGAUGCUUAGCAAGCCGUACUUUCACUGAGUGCCAAAGUCUGUACACAUUUCAUCUGGAUUCCAAUUUUUAUCCUUUGCCACAUUUUUGGAAUUAUUUUAUCUCUUCCCUGGAGAAAGUAACCACAAUUUCUCUACCUCUUCUCAGACAAUUUGUUCUACAUGUAAAGGAUUAAAGAUGUGGUACUUGAGAACAAGCUUGUCGAUGAGUCAGAGGGUAGAUUGGAUUCCUUCUUGGCAGAGGCCUGGUAUUGUGCCACCCUUGGGAAACUCUGGAAACAACAGGCCAAGAAGCACCACCUUAGCCUGAGAGGGGCUUGAGCAGAGUCCAAGGACACAGUGGGAAACAAGGGGACAGAGGAGCUAUUUAAAGUGAAAACCUAAGGAUCCUUUCAUCUGUG
rnacentral:lncRNA from 1 species